ACUUCAGGACUAGAUGCAAGGGCAGCUGCAAUUGUGAUGAGAACAGUUAGAAACACAGUAGACACAGGAAGAACUGUUGUCUGCACAAUUCACCAGCCCAGCAUUGACAUAUUUGAAGCUUUUGAUGAGGUAAGUUGAAGCAAGGGCCAAAAUUGCACAAUUCUUGGAUGCCUCUCAUACGAACACUAACAGGCUAUUCUUGAACUUCUGCAGCUGUUUCUGAUGAAACGAGGAGGUGAAGAAAUAUAUGUGGGCCCCCUGGGACACAACUCAUGCCAUCUCAUCAAUUACUUUGAGGUGAGCCUCGAUACUUAAAUACUGAAGUGAACACCAAAUUUCCAACUUAAGACAUGCAUGGUAACCUUGCUCGCUGCUCCAAAUUUAGGGUAUACAAGGAGUGAGGAAAAUCAAGGAUGGUUACAAUCCUGCAACAUGGAUGUUGGAGGUUACCACCCUAGCCCAAGAAGAUAUCCUUGGCAUCAACUUUGCUGAAGUAUACAGGAAUUCUGAUCUAUACCAGUAUGUUUCAUGACAAAAGCCCCCCAAAAUGUUCUUUUUCUGCUUUUUCUGUGUUAUAUCACUGAUUCAAUUGCACCAUUGCAGGAGGAAUAAAACAUUGAUAAGUGAAUUAAGCACACCUCCACCUGGAUCAACGGACCUACACUUCCCAACUCAAUUUUCACAGCCCUUCUUCACACAAUGCAUGGCUUGCCUGUGGAAGCAGCACAAAUCAUACUGGAGAAAUCCGUCGUAUACAGCAACUAGAAUCUUCUUCACAACAGUUAUAGCCCUCAUUUUCGGCACUAUAUUCUUGAACCUAGGGAAGAAAAUGUAAGUAUCUUUGCUAACAAACCCAAUUAACUUGAUCUAUGUUGGCAUGUUGUGAGAAAGAAACUUACCUGUGCUUAUCUUGCCUACAGAAACAAGAGAUUGGAUCUGUUCAACUCUUUGGGAUCCAUGUAUGCAGCAGUCCUUUUCAUUGGAAUUCAAAACGGCCAGACUGUCCAACCAAUUGUAGACGUUGAGCGAACAGUGUUCUACCGAGAAAAGGCCGCUGGAAUGUACUCCGCUCUACCAUAUGCAUUUGCGCAGGUAAAUGGUCAUAGCUGCAUAUUUAAACAAAAAACAAUUGCAGUGUGCUUCCUUUAUUAUACGGAAAAAAAUCUAACAAUUUAUCCUUUCAACAGGUUCUUAUUGAGAUACCACACAUCUUCCUCCAGACUGUCGUGUAUGGUCUGAUCGUCUACAGCCUGAUUGGCUUUGACUGGACAGUUGAAAAAUUCUUCUGGUACAUGUUCUUCA
rnacentral:lncRNA from 1 species